AUGAGCAUGGAAGAUGAAGGAGCGAUGCUAUGGUUUUAUUAUUUGUGCGAAGAGAAUCCAAAUGCUGACUGGAAUUCACUUUCUAUGGCUAUGACUAGAGAAUUUGGAGCACAAAUGGUGCAAAAUCAAGAAUCUAAGCCGAAACUAUGGAAGGUGACAGAAACACAUGAUGAGUCAAAGUUAGAGGAGAUGAACUUCACUGUAGAACGAGAAGCAAAAGGUUAUGCAAAAGUAGAAUCCGACUCCAAAGAGAUUGUUGAGAUAGUGAUGUAA